GUCCAGAACUCUUAAAUUAAAAAUAUUAGCUUCAUCACAGUGCAUAGGUCAUAUACAAUAUGAGUAUAUGUAUGUAGAAAUAUAUAAAAGGACAAGACAACAAUAUUGAACAAACUCUAGACGAACUAUUUAAUGCAUGACUUACUAGCUACUCUGCUAGUACUUCAUCAGAUAGAAUUGUCAUUCUUGAAACCAAAACUUUUCACAAUAGUUUAGGAAAUAUGAAAAGUACAACACCAUUAUUCAGUUGGUCCUUAUUUAAGCUACAUGAAUUUUUGUAAAGGGCAGAGAGUACAGAAUAUUAAAGGUUCAUAUUGCAUUGGCCUACCUAUCUUACUGGAGUCUCAAAUAUGAUAAAAGCCAGUAAAGUACUUUGGAGACAAAAAAUUUCUUAGUACCUUUUUCUAUGUUUAUUGUCUUUAUUUUUCAGUCAACUAUACUAGCCCAACAUCAUUGCCCAGACGAAUUACUUAGUUCAAUAGAUAUGAUAAAUGGUUGUAUGCAUAAUUUAGAACAAUAAAAACUUUUAACCAGUACUAAUCACCUACAAAAGAAGGGCUUAAGAAAUUAACAAUAUUCACCAAUGUUGUGAUACAAUUUGUACUGGAGUUCUAAUUGGCUGAAAUUUGGUGGCAAGGCUCGUUUUGCUCAACCAUCAUAGGCUCUAGAUGAUCUCUUCCACCGCGUUAAGGUACACUCUAUCGCUAAGUUAUAUCCACCAAAACUUAUAAACAAUAUUUUUCAAAUUUAGAAUUACGACUGAACUUUACUAAAUUUCUGGUGAUCCACUAGGUAUAGUGGCUAGACAAGUCUUUGCCUAUCCAUUAGAAACUUACAAUGAUCUGGCAGGACUUGUAAAUAAUUUAUUUGUUCCUAAGUUACGAUGCAAUUUAUAUUAAAAUCCUGGUGAUCUGCUAGAACUUGCUCAUCCGUCCAACCUUCUAGAGAUCCGCUUGGACUUGUGGCCAGGUUCCGACCUCUGCAAGAUACAUUUGCUAAACUUAUUCAAACGGGACCAAAACUGAAACAACAAUAUGUGACAUUAACAUAUAUAGCCUAUUUGUGCAAAUCACCCAUUUUAUAAUGGGGGCGGUGAGAUUCAAACCUAUGAUCACGGGCGCAGCAAGCCUAUUAGGUGUGGGUUCGACUUAAUCAAUUAUUUUUGUUUAGACACUGUAUUUCUAUUAAGAAAUUCAUUAAAUAUGUAUAAAUAUUUUAAUUGUGAACUCAGUAACAAAGACGAGCUAUAGGUUCCACGGCAAAUUCAGAACUCAUAGACUUCAAAUUCUGAUUCCGCCUUUACUGACGACCUUCUGACUAAUUUAAUCUCUUAUUGAAUUGUGUGAUCAUCUUGUCUAAAAGUUUAAUCUCUCAGAUAAAAUACACUUUUACUUACUUAUCAAUUAUAACAUGUCUCAACAUCUUACUCUCAUUUUCCUCCCUAAAAGAAAAGACAAUACUCAUAAAUAGAUGCUAUUUUUUGGGUCUGGAUUUAUAACCACCAUGAAUAAUAAGUAUAGACAACGAUUUUAUGAUAAAAAAGAAAGGAAGUAUAGACGACGAUUACAAAUAAUUAUAUUCUAACCAGAAUAUGAAGAAUCAAUUUUCUUUAAUCAAACAGAACUGGUGCUUUGUUCUCCCCACACUACUAGAAAUUACAGCUAUGACAACCCUGUUGGAAAAGGAUUGCUAUUAAUAUUUGGAGGGAGGCUUUUAGGCUAAGGGAAUUUGGAAGAGUAGAAAGAUUUUGGAGAAGAGAAACUUUUAUUUCUCAAACUAGUUUUU
rnacentral:lncRNA from 1 species